rnacentral:rRNA from 1 species
CUACGGGAGGCAGCAGUAGGGAAUUUUCGGCAAUGGACGCAAGUCUGACCGAGCAACGCCGCGUGAACGAUGAAGUAUUUCGGUAUGUAAAGUUCUUUUAUCAGGGACGAAAAAACAAAUUGACGGUACCUGAUGAAUAAGCUCCGGCUAACUACGUGCCAGCAGCCGCGGUAAUACGUAGGGAGCGAGGUUAUCCGGAAUUAUUGGGCGUAAAGGGUGCGUAGAUGGUAUAAUUAGUUUCUUGUAAAAUAUCUAGGCUCAACCUAGUACAGCAAGGGAUACUGUUAAACUAGAGUACGGAAGAGGCAAGUGGAAUUCAAUGUGUAGCGGUAAAAUGCGUAAAUAUAUGGAGGAACACCAGUGGCGAAGGCGGCUUGAUGGUCAGAUACUGACAUUGAGGCACGAAAGCGUGGGGAGCAAACAGGAUUAGAUACCCCCGUAGUC